UUUAAUUAUCCACCACCAUCUAUAUUAACAAAUAACCAUAUUCCUAAUAAGAGUAAUGUUUGAAUUUUUCAUAUUUUCAUCUUGAAAGUAUUCCGUAUAAAGAAAAAAGAAUUACAUAUAAGGAAAAAUUAAUAAAUUAUUUGUAAUAAUAAGACCGACCACCAAUUACCUCUCCCCCAAAUUUCUCUCUUCUUUUACCUUGUGUAGAAUCAUAACCGAUUCUUUUUCAUCAUGUGUUGGCACUGUGUAACUCCCCAAUUUAUGCAGUCCUUUAUUCAAAUUCAAAUGGCCAUUUCCCUCUCCUAAUUAAUCUUCUCUUCUCCCCAUUCUCUUCUCAAACUGUUUUCCUGCAAGAGACAACAGAAUUAAUCAUGUGUACACCAUGGACAAUGACCAGGUUUAUUAGAUGGCGACUCAGGGACUGGGUAUCUUGUUUCUUGCCCUGCAAAUUUCCUCUGGGUAUCUAAACAAAACUGGAGCUUCUUUUUAUCUAGCUUAACCUGCCUUUAGAACCAGUUUAAGAAUAAGAAUAAGAGGGCAUUUAAUUUUUCAAAUUUAAAAUCUCUAACGGUCAGAAAAUCUUCAACAUCUCUAUCCUUUAUUAGCAAUUUUCAAUACAUAAUCUUUAGUAUUUUUGUAUGCUUCUUGCAGAUGAUGACCCAGGUAGAGUUUGCACUUCAUCGCCUCAGCCACCUAUCAAGAACAUGGUUUUUGAUAUCAAGAAGGAUGAGAUGAAAGGCAAAAGGGCUAGCAAGAAAUUGUUAUGGCGAAAUAGAUAUAGAAACGAGAAACAAGUUAACCAUGAUGUAACACUGGAUAGAAACACUGUUUCAAUGGAAAAUAAGAGCAAUGAUUCAGGCUGGCCACAUUUUCAAGAUGAGGACUAUAUAGUUUUCUGCUUUAAAGAAGAUGGUGCCUUUGAUGUUGUUAAAGAUGGCAAGCUAGAAGCUUUGGAGCUCUUUGAUUCUGGGAACAGAAGUCCAAGGCCUGUCGUUAGAAAGGUCAGCAAGGAUUUUUCCUUCUUUUUCUUCUCAAUGGGUAUUCAACAAGUUACCUGACCAUAACAAACAAGUGAAAGAAAGAUUGGUUUAUGUCAUUGUCUUUUUGUGUUGAAAUGCAGCUUAAUUAUGGUGAGGUUGCAGAGACAUGCGAGAAGAGCAGCCAUGGGAAAACUUCAAAUGCACAGGGCAUCGGACAAGGGCUCAAUCCUGUUGAAGAGGUACGCAUAGCAGCUCUCCGAUGAUGUAAAUUUGAAAUCAAAAUAGGACACAAGACUAACACCAGUAUCAAUCAUUUUUUGUUAAUGGUAUCAACUGGAAGAAAAUGAAGCAAUUUCAAUGUUUCAGCCUUAGAACAGAAAAAUGGUAUCAUGGUUUUGAAAAUUACAUGACUUGAUAACCUCUUGUUUAGACUAAUUUUCUUCAUUACUCUCCAUAUAAAGAGCUUGAAUUUUUACCAGAUAGACAUUAAACUAUUGAUUACUAGCCAAAUGGCAUGUUGAUACGAACAACAAUGAGCAAUAGUACUAAGAUCCUACCCUCUGAUGUAGGUGACACAGAUUUAAACUUCAUGUACCAAUUAGAAAUACAUUUUUUUUUUCCUUUUUGCUCCUUAUUGGCAGGACGAGGAAGAACAGAACACUUACUUGGACAUAGAGUCACAUUCGGUUGCCAGCGCCAGGGGCCAUAAAUUUGAAGUAAUGGAAAAGCAUGGGAUCAGAAAGCAGUCUGUCGAAUCGAGCGACUCCAAUCAAUCAGAAAGCAGCACAGGGUCUUUUUCUUUUCCUAUGUAAGCUUGAAUCUUGUGAUAAUUCAAGUAGCUACUAACUCCAAAUGGCUUGGCUCUUGUAGUUGAUUGCUAAGCUAAUUUGAUUGAGAAAAAAAAAAUGCAGAUUGCACUGGGAGCUGAUGGGCAGUCCUUCCUAAGUGUCAGAAUCAAUAAUCCCAGCUCCCUCCAACGGCAACUCUCAAGGUCCUUAGAUAUAUUUGCAAUUACGGCCAUUAAAAAAAAUGGUGGCAGGCUCUGCAUAACUUGAUUGUAAUCGCCAAUUGAAAUGCGCGUUUUGCAAUUUUCAUGGUAAGUGUAAUCCUUCCGCCAAAGGCAGCGAAUAAUUCAUGCAGAGAAGAAGAAGGAAAAAAGAGAGGAGGUAAGCGUUGAAACAAAGUAAUACCAAGUGCUAUAUAGAUUAGCGACAUUCGCCUUCCAUGGAAACAAACCAUGUACAAAUAAUAUGAUAAGGGAGAUCUUGAGUGGAUUAGAUACAUAUGAUUAUCAAAAACAAAAUAAACCAACCCAUUAAAUGAGAAAAAAAAAUUUAUAAUAACAGCAGAAGAAAAAGAGGCGAAAGAGGGUUAAAAGUAUUUAGCCUGUUAAUCACAUGCGUGCUGGACCACGGGUACAAAUGCUCCACAAGAAUUAAGAAGCUUGUGAAACCUGGCCAUUGUUAAAAUCCUUACCAGCAUUCAUACUGUUGGAUUUAAAAACAAUAGACUGAAGACGUAGUCUUGCACUAGCUGCGGCAGCAAUAGACUCUUCAUCUUGCUUUUCCUUUGCAGCAGCAACAGCAACAAUGUAAGCUUGUCUUGCUUCUUCCAUUUUUUGCAUCUCCAUGUCAUCAAAAUUAUCCUGUAUAAAUGUGAUUUAGCAGCGAAAAAUUGUACCAAGAAGUGUAAGUAAAUUAAUGAAGCCAUUGAAGCAAACAAGCUUUCUCAAUAAGUUACAUGUCUUAUUAUCAUGUGGAUGGUAAAAUAAUAAAUAAAUAAAUAUAUAAAAAGAACUUCCAUAUUCUUUAAUAAGAUCCUUUUUACUUGGUUAUAACAAACCAUGAACUAAAAAUUCAAGCCACAGCAGUUCUUUUCCUAGGCAAUAACAGCUGGUAACAAAACCAUAGUAUGGUGAUGCCAAGCAUAAAGAGUGGAAAGUGAAUAAUAUAUGUGAACUGAUGUUUUGAUUGUUGCUUGCCUGCUCCCACUAUUAUCCAUAUGACAAGUAUUAAAAAAUGAAGGGGGAAAAAAGCUGGGAAAAAAGAAAGUAAAUGGCCAAAGCAAAAACAGAUUAAACAUGCACAAAAUGGGGUUAUGUGCUUACAAUAUCAGGAAGAUAAUCUAAAUAACGUGGUUUGACAUCAUAAUCUUCAGAAUAUGUUGCGGAAUUAUUAUUUGUCAAGCCUUCAAAUAACGCCAUGAAUGAUGAAAUGUCUCCUUGGAGAGAAUCUAGAUCUUCCUGGAGCUUCUCUGCUUUCCUAUUGGAAGUCAUUGCUUCCCACUGUAUCUUUUCCAGGGCAGCUUGCUUGUCCGCAAGCUUGAUCUGCUCAAAAUUACAGCAGUUAGCCUGUCACUAACAAGAUGAAAUGACUUCCAACAAGAUGGUUUGUUAGGGGAGGGGGGUAUAGAAAGAGACUUCAUUUUAGGCAUAUGGCUUUAUUUCCACCGUUCUAGGAUGACAUAACUCGGUCAAGAUCUGAAUGAUAUAAAUAAUUUCAAGGAUUCAAUAUUCUCCAUGCACGGAAUGUAAUGAAAAGAAAAGGCCAUUUUUUAGAAAACUAUAAUAUAUUAUAUUUUAAAAGAAAAAAAUGAACAUUUAGUUUUAGUUUCAUAACAUUACAAGGUUCUUAAGUUCAAACUGGUGUUCCAUCUAGUUCUGCUUAAAACAAAAAUUGAUCUCAAAGUUUUGCAUCAUAAACAUGAGCCACAUAAACUAUCCAAGUUUUGCAUUCACACCCAUGGAGUUAAAUCUGCAAGAUCUCAAAAUUGACUACAAUCACUAGUAUUAGAGUGCAAUCACAUCAUAUAAUAUCAUCAAAUCUACAAUUAUUGUUAUGUGUCAUUACAGUUUAUUAAUAAGCAAGAAAUAUCAUUCAUGGUAACAAAUGACCAUGGGUUCAUCAUGCUUAUAAAUGAGACCAGCAAAGCGAUAGAUAUUAUCUACCUUUGCAUCAGAAAGUUGUAGUUGAGUAGACUUAAUUAUGGAAUCCUUCUCUGCGGCCUCGUGUUUCAGUUCAUCAAGUGUUGUAUAAACAACAUUCAUCUGGUUCUUUGAAAUUUCAGCUGAUUUCAGAAGUUCAUCUUUCUCCAAUAAUUUCCUUUGCAGAUCCUCAACUUGUUCCCUCAAUGCGACUAGCUCUUCUAUGUCCUUUUCUGUAGCCAAAGCCCUCGAGGAAAAGAUUGAGAAGCUAUCAACAUCUUGAUUAUUACCUGCAUUCUUACCUUGGUCCUUGUCUCCAUGUUCUUUUUUCUUUUUUGCUGGUAUAGAUUGAGUUGUAUACCUCUCUUUUGGAUCAUUUAUCUUUUUAUAUAAAGACUCUCUGGAAGGCGUCUUCGUGUAGAUCAUCGAACCUCGCCGUGUAAAUGAACUGUUGGCUUUCCGAUGGAUGAGGGACUCGACGAGAGGGACCAUCUCAACGAGAUUGUCGUAGAGGACGCGAUCGACAUUGCCGGCUGCCCCAGUGGUGGAAGCAGAGGUGGAAGUGAGGGCGGAGAGUUGGGACUGAACUCGUCGGAGAGUCGGGGAAGAGUUGUCGUCGCCGGAGAGCCAUGAUUUGGGGUCCCCAAACUUGGAAUUUUCUUGCAAAUCUACGAAAUGCUGAGGAUCAUACAUCGUUUCGGAAUUUGAAUCUUUAACUAUCUAUGACUAUGAGUAGAUUAAACGAGUGCAAAGUGCUCGUGUACGUGAUAGAGAGAGAUAGACCUGCAGAGGAACGAUU
rnacentral:misc_RNA from 1 species